GAUGAACGCUGGCGGCGUGCCUAAUACAUGCAAGUCGAGCGAACAGACGAGGAGUUUGCUCCUCUGACGUUAGCGGCGGACGGGUGAGUAACACGUGGAUAACCUACCUAUAAGACUGGGAUAACUUCGGGAAACCGGAGCUAAUACCGGAUAAUAUAUUGAACCGCAUGGUUCAAUAGUGAAAGACGGUUUUGCUGUCACUUAUAGAUGGAUCCGCGCCGCAUUAGCUAGUUGGUAAGGUAACGGCCUACCAAGGCAACGAUGCGUAGCCGACCUGAGAGGGUGAUCGGCCACACUGGAACUGAGACACGGUCCAGACUCCUACGGGAGGCAGCAGUAGGGAAUCUUCCGCAAUGGGCGAAAGCCUGACGGAGCAACGCCGCGUGAGUGAUGAAGGUCUUCGGAUCGUAAAACUCUGUUAUUAGGGAAGAACAAAUGUGUAAGUAACUAUGCACGUCUUGACGGUACCUAAUCAGAAGGCCACGGCUAACUACGUG
rnacentral:rRNA from 1 species